rnacentral:rRNA from 1 species
AUUGAACGCUGGCGGCAUGCUUUACACAUGCAAGUCGAACGGCAGCACGGGCUUCGGCCUGGUGGCGAGUGGCGAACGGGUGAGUAAUAUAUCGGAACGUACCCAGAAGUGGGGGAUAACGUAGCGAAAGUUACGCUAAUACCGCAUACGAUCUAUGGAUGAAAGCAGGGGACCGCAAGGCCUUGUGCUCCUGGAGCGGCCGAUAUCUGAUUAGCUAGUUGGUGAGGUAAAGGCUCACCAAGGCGACGAUCAGUAGCUGGUCUGAGAGGACGACCAGCCACACUGGAACUGAGACACGGUCCAGACUCCUACGGGAGGCAGCAGUGGGGAAUUUUGGACAGUGGGCGCAAGCCUGAUCCAGCAAUGCCGCGUGAGUGAAGAAGGCCUUCGGGUUGUAAAGCUCUUUUGUCAGGGAAGAAACGGUAGAGGCUAAUAUCCUUUGCUAAUGACGGUACCUGAAGAAUAAGCACCGGCUAACUACGU